GAUGAUGUUGAGGUUGCUGUGCAGAAUGUGUUGCAAAACUGAAGUCUAACAGGGAAAUGUUCUGCAUCUUCCAAGGCUGUGCAUAGGUCAAUCCAUACUGACCAUGAGAAAAAGAAAAGCAUUGCUAUUAGGAAGCUUCAAUUGUGUUUUCAUCAUUCAUUGCUGUGGAGACUGAAUCAGAUGGAGCAGGUGAUCAAGUCAGGAAUCCAGUGCUGCCAUUGCUGAUUUCAGGUUUUACUGAUACACAUGUCAUUAGGAAGCUGAAG